UUCCCUACAUUAAAUCCAGCAUAUAUGGGGUUAAAACCAAAACACUCAUUCCCUGCUUACUGCCUGGCUUCCUGGCUCCAGAAUCAGCUAUCCUCCAUGGAGACAGACACCACCAAGGACAAGCCCUGGAUUCAUUAUCUCCUCCUUGCAAAGAGAUACAGGCUGGUGCGAAAGCUGCUGACCAGCAAGGUCACAGGCUCCCUCCUCUCUGCAAGUAGUCUCAAGGCCAAAGACAGGCUGGUGGGAAAGCUCCAACCAGCAAGGCCAUAUGCUCCCCCUCCCCUACCUAAAACCCCAAAUAAAAACCCUUCCUUUUAGCUUUUCAGGGAGUUUGGGAUUUCAGCAUUAGCUGCCCUCUCUCCUUGCUCAGCACUGUGCAAUAGUUAAAUUCCUACUUUCUUCCACUACCGCCGGUGUCAGAGAUUGGCUUGCUGUGCAAUGGGUGAGCGAACUCACUUCAGGUUUGAUAUCAAUUUGGUGACCCAGAUGGGACAAUGCCCCAGGUGGACCACUUGCCUGUGGCACACCAGCCUCUGGCUAAAGGCCUCUCUUGGAAGCUGUCCUGCAGCUGCCUGAGCCCCUUUUCUCAGGGACAGCCCCAAGCAACUGGCUGCUAACCAGAUGUCAGUGGCCCAUGGCGCUUUGCUUUGGUGGUGGAAGAAACUAGGUUUAGGACUUAGGAAGACAUCUCUCAUAAGUAGCUGGUAGCUUUUGUCUUUGUCCUUGUGCUAACCUUUUCCAGCAGGACCAGCCAAAAAUAAUGGGCACCCAGCAGCCUUCUGGGUUCCAUUUGUUUUGAAGUUGCGACAUCCCGGCCAAAUUUUGAAUCCACUAUCCUCCAUGGAGACAGACACCACCAAGGACAAGCCCUGGAUUCAUUAUCUCCUCUUUGCAAAGAGAUACAGGCUGGUGCGAAAGCUGCUGACCAGCAAGGUCACGGACUCCCUCCUCUCUGCAAGUAGUCUCAAGGCCAAAGACAGGCUGGUGGGAAAGCUCCAACUAGCAAGGCCAUAUGCUGCCCCCCUCCCCCCCCACGUAAAACCCCAAAUAGAAACCCUUCCUUUUAGCUUUUUGGGAAGUUUGGGAUUUCAGCAUUAGCUUCCCUCUCUCCUUGCUCAGUGCUGUGCAAUAAUAAAAUUCCUACUUUCUUCCACCACACCCAGCAUCAGAAAUUGGCUUGCUGUGCAACAGGUGAGCAAACUCACUUCAGGUUCAAUAUGAGCAUAACUUUUAAAGAUGGAUAGAAGCAUCUUCAUGUUCAUAAACAUGGGCUGACACAAUGACUCCCACCAAAUUGACUUCUAGGAAAAUUUUAUCCCUAGGUUUAAAACACCUGGGUCAAGACCUCUUCUUCUGGCCAAAAUGGAGAAACAAGGACUGGAUUUCCUCUCCUGCCUAAAAAAACCAAAAGACAUACAAAAUGUAUGAAGGAUUUUCGAGACUUUGGAUAUCAGGCAAUGAAAGACAAUGAUCUUUGAGUGAUGGAAAAUAAAUGAGGUGAGCCCCAUAGUUGCCCCAACCACCUUCUUUGAUAGAAUUUCCUAUAGGUUUUGGUAUAGAAAGGAGAACCAAUAAAUUGAAUAAACUUGACAGCUUAGAAUUCUUUGAAAGGUGCAAAAUACUAAAGGUCACUCAAGAAGAAACAGAUAACCAGGAUAGAUCUACAUGUAUUAAAGAAAUUAAAGUUUUAGUUAAAAACUUCCUGACAAAGAAAACUCUUAGCCUAGGUGGCUUUACUGGUGAAUUCUAACAAAUAUCUAGAAAGAAAUAGUAUCAAUUCUUCAGAAACUCUUCCAGGAAAUUGAAAAGGAGGAACACUUACCAAUUCAUUCUAAAAGAAAGGGCACUACUAUGAUUCUAAAACCAGACAAAGAUAUUACAAGGAAAGAAAACCACAGAUGAGUAUCCCUCAGGAACAUAGAUGCAAAGUUUCAAAACAAAAUUUUAGAAAACCAAAUCCAGUAAUAUAUAAAAUGUAUAAUAUAUCAUGAAUAAGAGAGGUUUAUUUCAGGAAUGCAAAAUUAGUUUAUCAUUUGAAAAUCAAUCAAUGUAAUUCACCAUAUUAAACAACUAAAAGAGAAAAACCAGGGCCGGCCCGAUGGUGCAGCUGUUAAGUGCGCACAUUCUGCUCCAGUGGCCCAGGUUCCCCGGUUCAGAUCCAGGGUGUGGACAUGGCACUGCUUGGCAUGCCAUGCUGUGGUAGACAUCCCACAUAUAAAGUAGAGGAAGAUGGGCACGGAUGUUAGCUCAGGGUCAGUCUUCCUCAGCAAAAAGAGGAAGAUCGGCAGCAGAUUUUAGCUCAGGGCUAAUAUUCCUCAAAAAAAAAAGAAAAAAAGAAAAACCAUAUGCUAUCUCAAUGGAUGUCAAAUAGAUGCAUUUGACAAAAUCCUUUUCUGAUAAAAAAAAUAUUUUAACAAACUGAGAAUAGAAGGGAACUUCCUCAACCUGAUAAAGGGUAUUUAUGAAAAACCUACGGGUAACAUUACACUUAAUGGUGAAUGUUUUCCCCUUAAUAUCAGGAACAAGACGAGGAUGUCUGGUCUUACAAUUUCCAUUCAACAUUGUACUGGGGAUUUUAGCCAGAGCAAUAAGGCAAGAAUAACAAAGAUUUUAAAAAAAUCCAUUUUGGAAAGAAAGAAGUAAAAUUCAUUAUUCACAGAAGAUUUAAUUGGCUAUGUUGAAAAUCCAGUGGAAUCUACAAAAAGGCUGUGCAUGUUUGAAUUCUUAAUAUGAGAACUAUAAAUGAAACUAGCAGAUUCUCAAAAUAAUUUAACUAGAAAGCCUCUAAUGUUUAGAAUUCAGGAGAGAUUUUAAAAUGGCUUGAACACAGAAAAAAAAUCACAAUUGUUUUAGUUAAAAGACGUUGGGAUAAAGUUCACUUAUUCUAACCACAAAAUAUCUUUAAAUAAUCAAACCACUGAUGGCAUUUCUGACGAUUCUGUAAAAAUAGCAUGUGUGUGGAUUGGACUCGCUGUGAUACUACUUCUGAAAUAGGUCAAAUAUUAUGCACAGUGCCUUUACUGAUUCCCUGUACCGCUCAUGGCAACAUAGUGGUUUGCCUAGUUUCAAUGUAGUUAGAUAAACCAAAUUUAUAAUCAUAACCAUACCAGAAAUGUCAUGCUUGAAGGCUAAGCUCAUUUAAUUAAGUAUGACAAGCCCACUCUCAAGGAAUCAAGACUACAUUUCAUACAUGGAGUUUGGGCUUCUACCUACUCUGUGACUAAUAAAGUUCUAGCCUUACGGGAAUCUACAUCAUCACUCCUGGCAGGCCAGAUACAGUGAUGAAUUUUGGGUUCCCAGAGGGAAAAAUGAUAGCCCUACAUUUUUAAGGAUGGUGGGUAACCCUAGAAGAAAACAGCCACUUGUUCUUUGGUCCUUUGCCUCAGAGUAGACAAGGUGACAAGAGCAGUUAUAGGAAAGAAGGAAGAAAGGAAGGAAGACAAAUUAAAAGAAAAAGUGAAGGAAAAGGAAGUGAAAAGUAGAAGAGUGAGGAGAGGAAAGAGGGAAAGAAAGAGUUGAGGGAGGAGGGGAUGAAUCAGGAGGGGACAGAGAAGAGAAUAGAAGAAAGGGCAUGGAGGGGAAGAGAGAAAAGGAAAUUCUGGGACAACAAUGCAGCCUGGAUUCUUUUUGAAAUCUCUGAACAGAAGUUAGUUCUCUGUCCUUAGUAUGGAAUAGUUCUAGUUUUGUUAAACAAACAGCUAGAGCAUUAAUCAACACCUUUAAUUGGACUUAAUGAAUUUUUCAUUUCAUAGUUUUGGACCACAGUUGACCAUGGGUAACUGAAACCAUGGAAAGCAAAACCGCAGAUAAGGGAGGACUACUGUGUUCCUUUUAUAUAGGAAAAGGAACAUCAAUUAUAUAAUGCAACAUUGUGGAUGACCUGGUAAGCAAGACUCCAUACAUAUCACAUAAAUUAAGCAUAUGUCUAAUUUUCGCCAUUUAUAAAAAAUGUAAAAGUGAUUGACUAAACAAAAAAAAAUCCAAUGAAUGAUCUUAGCACAAAUAUGCAAGGAGAAUCUGUUUUUCUGCUAAGACAAAUCUUUGAAGUUUGUCUGAGUCAAAAGGAGAACUUUACAUUAAAAACUCUUCCAAAUCUGCUCUGAGACAGAAUCUUUUUUCGUAAUCUAAUAUACAGACUCGUUCCAAGAUAAAAUUGGUUUAAGCAGGUACUGAUGGAUGUUAACUGGAUUAAAAUCUCUGUAAACAAACUAGUAACCCACCUAAGCCAGUUCACUGUCAUCAGGCCUUGAACUAAAUUUAUUUUUGAAUCUCACCACUCUUUCCCUAUAAAUGUCUCUACCAAGAAAGAAACUCUUAAAAUGGCUUGCUCGGUUAUAAGUCUAUAAAAUCCUGGACAUGUGUACGUAACUAAUUACUCGAUGUUAUUUAAUAGCAUUUUGUGCAAAAGGAACAGUAAAUUGUAAAUUAUCAAUAGACAUUUAAAAACAACAGUGUUGAACACAAAUUGCAUUGCUAUAGAUUAAUAAAAAAAAUACCAAAACAAUCAUUACAUUAACCACUGGUUUGAGGGGAAGAUAAUUCCAAGAUUAUCAGUAGCAACAUGUUGUGUGACAUGACAACUAGCCUGAGGGGGACAUGGGACAUAUGCCUGAACAGAGGGAAUAAGAACAAUGAAUAAUUCCUGGUGAGUGGAGGAAAUUAGGGAAACCAGCUGAUGUCUAAGGUUCUGAGCAGGAUGAAAUAUCACAAAAGGAUUAUGGGUGUCAGGGAAAGCAGUCACAAGAUAGUAUGUCACAUAAACAUAGUGAUUGAGAGAGGAAAGAAAUAAUGCUUAGUAAGAUACAGUGAAAGUGGUAUGUCCGUUGCUGCCCCCUUCUACAGCAUAGAGACUAUGAUGUGUCCCAAAGGGCUGAAUCAUGUGCACGGAUAUAUAUGAAGCAUUUAGUAACCAUGGCCUUACUUAGGGGACAUGAAAAUCUACUUAGCCUGUCAGUAACUAAAAUUAUCCAAAAUUUAUUUUCAAUUAGGACAAAAAAAAAUCCACUUGAUAUAACACCUAAAUUUUUCUCCCUCAGGAUUUUUUUAAAUCUAGGCUGUCCAAAAACAGACAUGCAUAAAGGUGUUUUGUUGUCAUUUUCUUUUUGUUUUUACUUCACAAAGCUAAGUUCUUAAUGUUUACAUUAUGAAUAGCAAAGGAAGCAAGUUAAUAUAAGAGCUGAUUUUUUCUCACCAGUAGGAUAUAAGUUAGGAGAUUUGCUAAGGAAGCACAUAGUAGAUGGAGAAAAGACCAAUGGGAUAAACUUCUAGUGUGAAUUUCAGAACAGGGAACUUACACACACACACACACACACACACACACACACACAAACACACACACACUCUGCCCAAUGUGUUGGGAGCAGGGAGUGCAUAGAAACUCUGUUUACAUUUAAAGGAUUUGAAAGCAGACCACAAGGCAUUCUGAGUUCUUUCCUACACCAACAUGGUGCUAUAGCCAGGAAAAGAAAUGAUGGCAGGUAAAGGCCCAGAAGAACAUGAACUGAGGCAGCUUCCUAAGUAGCAGAAGGCCACAGAAGGAUAUGGGAGGGCAUCUAGUGUUUCCUGAGCACCCCAGAUGAGCACAGCAAUGACUCAGGGAAGGUAGAAAAUUCUAAGAGAUCUCAUGGCUUUGACAGAGGGACACUCAGCAGAGUUAUUGUGCACAAAAGUCAGAAACUGACAGGAAAGCAGACCUCAGCAGCGGUUGGUGAUGGGGCAGAUGCCAGCUUUCAAGAACCAGGGGCCACAAAGGAUGGGGGCAGCACAAACCAGACACUCUUUUCCAAAGGCCAACCCCAAGAUGCUAGCAUGAAAUCUGAGCUCCUUUAGGUAUAAACAUAACCCAAGAGGAGGGAGAUAGAAACUCGAAAUACUAAAUACUGAAAAUGGUGUCAACAUGGCUGAACUUUAUUCAGUUUAUCUGAGAAUGACAGAUUAAAUUUUCUAUUUUCAGAAAGAGUAAACUCAAGACAGAUACUAAUUACAGCUAUAAAACAAUAAAGGGCCAUCCCUGGUGACCUAGUGGUUAAGUUUGGUGUGUUCUGCUUCAGCAGCCUGGGUUUGGUUUCUGAGCAUAAACCUACACUACUUGUCUGUCAGUGGCCAUGCUGUGGUGGUGGCUUACAUACAACAAGAGGAAGAUUGACAAUGGAUGUUAGCUGAGGCAAACCUUCCUCAGCAAAAAAAAGAGAGAGAGAGACAAUAAUGAAAGUGAUGCACUUCCGUAUAUCUCAAUUUGUGGAAAUUCUUCUUGCUAUAGAAGACACCAUUACUUUUCAAUCCUGCUUUCUAGGCUGACUGAACUUCCUUCCCCUCUCCUAACUUAGCCUAUGUUUUUGGUAUGUGCUACCUUCAGACUCCAGAAGUUCAGUUCCAAUUCCCAUCCUAACUAGGUAUCUAGGUUGCCACAGACAUCCAGCAAAAGGCAUUGUACAAACAAAAUCAUUAGCUAGGUAAGUCAGCUAGAUACACACCGCUGACAAACAUGAUCUACCUUUAAUCUACUGAUUUCCAUUUCUUAUCAACUUUUAAGGAUUUUUUGUAUUAAUUUGCUUUUUUUAUAUAAUGUAAGACUAAUUCAUUAUUCCAAAGUCAAAGAGCAGAAGUGAAUAGUUUGUUAUAGCAAUGCCACUCAAUUCUCUGAACUGUCUCUGAGUUAUAUGUCAGACACAAAAAAAUUUUAUAUGAAUUUACCAUUUUUUAAAUUGCAUUUAGUCUUCCCUUUGGUUGAAAGCAAUCAAUUGGAAACCACCUGAAUUAUGAGACUAUUUCUCAUCUGGAUGUCGGAGUGUUUCAUUUUCUAAAUUUGGUCACUAAUGUUCCCAGUUGAACCAUUUUUGGUGCCUCAGAAGCUUUUACAUCUUAGAGCAAUGCCUUAUAUUAAAAUAGGUAGGAAAUAAGCUUUGGUUUUUUUUUUUCUUUUUUUAGUAGUAUAGAGACUAUUGUUAAGGGGAAUUGGCAAAGAAUCUGAAUAAUGGAUUCUCAAGCAAAUCAAUUUUAGGAAAGAGUAUAUUUGGAAGCUGGACUGAAAGUGGAUUUCUCUUAAAACUGUCAAUGUUUAUGGCCCCCUUCGAGUAUUUGUACUCCAAUUUGAAGACCAAUACUAUAUAUCAUUCUAGAGCCAGAGAUGCAGCAGUGAAUGUGACAAAGUCCCUGACCUCAAGGAAGUUUUAUUCAAGUUUGAGGAUACGGAUUUUUCAAAGAACAAGUACAUACAUAAUCAAGCAAGAUGAUUUCAGAUAGCAGUGAGUGCUACAAAGCAUUUAAAAAGGGGUGACAGUGUGGUCAGUGAAAAAUUCUCUGAAGGAAUGACUUUUGAACUGAGAACUGAAGGAUAUGAAAGAGCGAACCAUAAAUAGAACUAGGAGAAGAAAGUUCCGGCAGAAAGAAAACAAGUACCAAGUUCCUAUGUAGGAAAAGAACAUGAUUAGAGAGAAGAGAGGGAGCAAUAUGCAAAGAAGUUUGAGAAGUAAGCAGCUGGUAUGGAUUUCUAGAUCAUACUAAAAAGACAUAACUUUAUUCUAAGAGCACUGGGAAGCCACUGAAGGUUUUGAGCAUGAAAGUGGCAUAUCUGUUGUGUUCUUUGAGGAUUGGUUUGUAAAGAAGGAAUUAUGGAGAGGCAGAGUAGGAUGCUUUGCAACACUCCAGAUAAGAAACAGUAGAACCUUAGAAUAUAGUGACAAAGAUGGCUUUGAGAUGCAUUAUAGAGGAAUUAAGAAUAAUUCCUUGUGGUUUAUGUAUGGGAGGUGAAAGAAAGGGGGAAAUGAAAAUAAUUGCCUGAUUUUUUAUUUGAGUCAUUAUGAGUGUGGUUGAUCUGGGAUAGACUAAGAGAAGAACAGGUUUAGGAGGGAAAUAAGAGUUCAGAUUUGAAUGUGCAGAUCUUGAAAAGCUUAUUAGACUUCCAAAUAAAGGUGGCACUUAAAUAUUUGUCUAUAUGAGAUUCUCAGAGAAAAGGUCAGAGUUAGAUAAAUAAAUUUGAGAAUCAUCAGUAUACAAGUUAUAAUUUUAAAAUAGGUCUAGAUGUACUCAACUGUGGAGAGAGUGAAAUAGGAAGAAGAAGAUAGAUCAAAAACAAGCUCUGAAGCAAUCCAACAAUUAGUACUCCACUGAAUUUGGGAAAAUGAAGGUCAUUGGUGACUUUGACAAGGACAGUUUCAUUGAACUGAUGAAGUGAGAUUAAGAGUAAGUAAGAAGUGUAAUGGGCAGGAUUUGGCUCUGCUAUAUGUGGAGUCACUAGGAGUCAAAAUCAACUGGACAGCACUAAUAACAAAGGAGGUGUAGAAAUGGAGAUAAGUAGUGGAAAUGGGAUAAUAGCCAGACAAAGAUGAUGGGUCAAGAUAGGGUUUGUUUUGGUUGCUGUUUUUUAGUAGAAGGAAGGCCCUAGGGUAUGUAUGCAUACUCAUAGAAACGGUCCAGUCAAUAAUGAGAAAUUGAUGAUACAGAGUAGCACUGGAGGGUCCAAGUAGGGACUGAUGGUAGGAGAAAGCAACUCUGUGCUUAGGCAAGACAGGUGUCUGCAGGAAGGGGACAUACAUGAAAACCCUAUGCAAGAAAAGCAUGAGAUCCAGAUUUUGAAAAUAACUUGGGACCACAGGAUACAAACAUUUCUCUUAAAAGAACUUCCAGAGUAGGUGAAUUGAAGCAGCAAUGGGAACUGACCAUGGGGCACUGUGAAGAAACUAGAGAACUCCAAUAGGACCAGUUGGCCCAAUUGAUCCCAACCCAACCUAGACCAAGGAACACAUAUCUGCUGAUACUUUUCCGAUGAUGUGUUGGUAAAUUGGUUCUCCAGAAAAAAAAAGGAGGGAGGGAGGGAAAGAAGGAAAGAAGAAAGGAAGGCAGGAAGGCAGGAAGGAAGGCAGGAAGGAAGGAAGGUAGGAAGGAAGGAACGAAGGAGCGAAGGAACAAAGGAACAAAGGAUGAAAAGAAGAUCCCACCCCCAGCCCCAUGGCAAGCAGCUGUGCACGUGUUCCUGGAGCAACCUGCACACAGCUUGCAGAGACAGGGUGGGCAAAAAGGACUCUCUCCUCCAAAUAUUGGGGAUCUGUGCUCUUAUUGCUGAUUGCUGCUUUAGAUCACAGAGGUGCAGACAGAGAGGUGAGUGGCCAUUGUUGUCACACCUCCUCCUACUAUUGAAGCCUCCUCCCUCUUGAGCUGAAGUGACUUCAGAGGCACUUAAAGGGCUAUAUCCCUUCCCCUCCACUUCAUUUUUCUGUUGUUUCCCUUUUGGGAGUCCCAAAUUAAAGAUUAGGACAUUCUAAAGCAACUGCAUAUAUGGGGAAAACUGGAAAAUGACUGUGCAUGCCCAGGGAAAGGUACAGACUCAGAAAAGAUCUGAGAAGACCUUAAGUAUAUACCUCAGGCUGAUCCUUUUCUCAGGAAGUUUCAUUUCUCUGAUGGAAAUAAAUUAUUUCCCUAUGUCUUCUUAGAGUCAUUCUGUAUACAAAAAGAUGAAAACAAUUUUUUAAAAAAAUAAAUCUAUACUCACUAGUCAGCAUAAUACAAAGGAUGAAGUAGAUUCUAGGUUACCAAUAACCUGAAGAUUGCAAUUGUUAAGAGGCUGAAUUGUACAGCAUGGAGCAACGAGUGAAUAUGAAAUAAAAAGCAAAAAUCAUUCUGCUUUUUUUAAGUGUGUAAAAUGCCUUUAUUGAUUUGUCAUAUUCUUAAAUAAUUCAUGCUGAAUAAAUAUAAUGUGGAAAUCAAAUUCCACAAACAGCAAAUAGUAACAAAGAAUUGAAACUAAUUUUUGUCAUCAUAUGAAUCUACAAUUUUCAGGUAUAACAGACUCAGAAAGUAUUGGGUAAGCUGAAUAGAGUUCCGAGAAUGCUGGGCACAUUCGCCGAACAAUCAAAACACUUCCAACAGAGAGGGAAAAAGAAAAGCAGAUCUAUUGAAAAACAUUUUCAUGACACAGAACCAUGGAAUUAAAUGACUUUCAAAGAAAGGUGUAAACCUUACAAUAAUUUCAAGUCACAUUCAGUAUGAAGCAAAGAUUUACAUGAAAGAACUUUUAGAUGUAUGAACGUUCAUAUGAGAGAAAUGUGCUCAGUGAAGGAGAGAACCCAAAAUGCUUUGCAAUAGCCUGGCCAUUGCUCGAGCAUGAUGACUUCAAAAGAAGCUACAGAAAGAAAUGGAAAGUUGGAAUAAAUACUGACCAAGCAAGGAAAGGACAGAAUAAAAAUGAGUUCCUGUGUCUAUAUAUCCAAGUCCAGAUACCAUUUCUGUAUGGAUGAUCUAGAGAUGAUAAAUUCACAGCAUGUCAAAACCUGAACUAAUCUCAAGUUUGUUACCAAAUUUUUUCUCCAGAUCUUGUUUGAUGAUAGCCCAUCUACCCAGUUACCCAAUCACAGACCUCAGAGUCAUCUUGGAAUCCUCGCUGUGUCCCAUUUUCCCCCAUCUUUUACCAAUUCUAUUGAUUUCGCUGCUAGUGUCUAGACACUCCUUUUAAUGUGUAUGUUAAUGAUAUGAAUCAGAACUUCAUCAAUCUCUUGCGUAGCUCACUGUAACAAUGUCUUAAUUGAUCUCCGUGUCCCUGGUGUUUCUCCUUUCAAUCUAUUCCCCACAUUGCUGCCAAAAUAGUCAUUCUAAAAUGCAAAUCUGAUCAUAUCGCUUCCUUGGUAAAUAUCCUCCAAAGUUUCCUGAUACCAAUUGGGAUAAAAUCCAGAUUCCUUAGCAGAACAUGAAAAGCCCUUAAUAGGGACUACCCUCCUCUCCAUCCAUUCUUUCCAUCAGUAGCCCCUGCUCAUCCUUCCAGACCCAGUUCAGGAAUUAUCUCCUCUGAAUAUUCACUCAUGAUACCCUUAUCUGAAUCAGCUUCCCUAACCACAGCACCUUGCAAUUCUUUUUGGCUUAGAACUUAUCUUAGUUUGUUGUAAUUGAGUGACCAUGUCUCUUUAUCCUACUAUUCUGCAAGAAACUUAAGGAAAGAAGCCAUUGUUCUUCAUUUCUGUAUCCCCAGCAUGGAACACUAAUACGUAGAAAGCAAUUAAAGUGUUUGAGAAAGAAAGGAAAUAGGAAAGAAAAAGAAAAUAGAAGGGAUCAACUAGAUAACUCUAGAAAAUUUUUAACGCUAAAAUGCUGUCUCUGUGAUUCCAUUUAUUUGGGCCAGACCCCCAGGUCAUACACACAUCAUCUACAGGCAGUGAGGGGUAAACUAUCAACACCAAUAAGCUAUUCUUCCAUUCUCCAACCCCAAGGGAAAGUGUUCCCUUAAACUCACCACAUAAAGACAACAAGGAUGCUUUAAGGUGAGAGAAACCUGUAGUAGUAUACAUUCUUAGGAUUACCAGGAGAAAUAGAUCCCCAAGUGGUAGACCAGGGAGCUGAUUUUUACCUCCAAAGCAACAAAGCUCAUGGAAGCAUUGUGUCACCCUCCCUUCCUGCAGCCAUCAACGCUGAGUGCCAGGGAGGUGAAGACUCUCCACACACUAGGGGGUACUCUUGGACCAGCAGUUUCCAUGCUCAUUAAGUUCUCUUUGGAUUUUGCUUCUCUUCAAAUCAAGUUAAAAUGUAUCUCCCCUUAUUCCUAGACUCUGGGAAGUAGAUUUGGUUGUGCCUUCUUCUGUAGCAUACCCAUAACUCUUCUAAAGAAUUUAUCACACUGUUAUUAUUAUUGUUAUUAGAUAAGUGUUCAGAGACAAUUCUCCAAGGGUCUCUUGCGUUUCUGCCCAUUUGAGCAAAGACGUUGACAGCUUUUGCUUCCAACUAUCUUUCCAAGGAUGUUUGUAUGGCAAACUGCCUUUGAGCAUGGAGAUAGUAUCUCCCUUCAAGGGAGAAGAAGGCAGGUUUUUCCUAACCUAUCUUGGUAAUAAAGAUAAUGUCUCCCACUGAGGUGAAGGUUAGGCAAGUUUGCUAGCAGCCUCCUUUGUGAGAUUGGGAGCUUCCAACGCUUAUGUUUCCUCAAUUGUGAUACAAACCUACUGUAGACACAUCUACCUGGGCUACUUUACAUCACCGCCAUGGAACUAGAGGAGAGGGGAGGAAUCCAGGAGAACAUGAAGUUCAUGCUGCCUGCUGUGCCGUGAGUAAUAAAGUUUUCUCUGAUCCAGGAAUCUCAUGUCUUAUGUCAGGAUCUAUGAACCUGCAGCAGACUCACUUGUUAAGCAUUUAAACAGAGCGAAAUCCCAUACCUUUUUCAAGUUCCUGCUAAUGUGCAGUGUGUUUGUGUCUGUGUGUGUGUGUGUGUGUGUGUGUGUGUUUAACCUAUUCAGCUUCUUCUGACCGUGAACUCCUUAAGAGUAAGGAUUGUAUCUAAUCCAUCCAGGGAUCUCCAAGACUUAACCUAAUUAAAAUUAAAAUAGACAUUAGCCGAAUAAAAAUGUAAUGAGAACAUGGGUAGUCAAGAAGAGGAAAAGGGGUCAGGGAAAACCUACCACAUAAUGUACAGGUCUUUUCAUCAUUUAAAUUAAUGCUGCUUUUCAUUAAGUUGAAUUAACGCUAUUGUUCUGUUAGAAAAGAUAAAUAGACUGUUAUCCAUGUAUAUUCUUUACAUGACAAUUAUGACCUUAACCCAACUCUUGCAUUGUCAUUCUAUCCUCAUAUCAUAAGUCCCCACUCACCUACCCACCAUCAACCCUAAAGUUCAAAGUAUAAAAUCAUAUUUUGCAAUAAAAGACACUGAGGGAUUCUGACUGAAAACAUACCAUAAGGAAGUAGGGGUUUAGACCUGUGUUUCAGAUGGGAAUGUUGCUUCUGGACUCCAUUUUUGGUUAACGUUGGAACCCAUCCUUGUUAGUCACUCCUGCACUGUGGGUGGAUGUGUCUGGAGAAAUGACUCUAUGUAUGUGCAUUCAAAGAGUUAAAGCAUCAUAACUAAUAAAAAUUGGGUCCUGAGUAGUUUUGUUGUGAGUCUCUUUCUUCUGAGUGUGAAACUGAGGAAAGAAAUGUCCUCCUCAUUGAGAGGAAACCUCAUAGCUGGACAAAGCAUUCAGAGAAGUGGGAGGUUCACUGGUGAUAGCAAUGGGAUCAGGAGGUGAGGCAUAAGGACCAGGAGGAACAGAAAAUGUAACUGUGAGUCUCCCGAAGCCCUUGAGGCUGCUCUCAUUGGCUUAAGGAGAUGGGGCUCCAACGAACGUGGAGGCACCUGAUGGACUGGAUAUACCUGACAGAUAAAGUUAUCCGGGUGUCAGCCUCACUGGGGUCCAGCCAAAGGUCUGAAUUUCUAUUUCUUCUAAGAUAACUGAUUCAUG
rnacentral:lncRNA from 1 species